CCUCUCUCCAUCAGGACCAGAACCUCUCUCUCCAUCAGGACCAGAACCUCUCUCUCCAUCAGGACCAGAACCUCUCUCUCCAUCAGGACCAGAACCUCUCUCCAUCAGGACCAAAAGCUCUCGGCACCUCAACAAGGCCCGCCCCCCCCCUACUGACACUUUACCUCAGCCACAACGCAGACUCUAUGCAUUACUUAAUGGAGAUCACAGGAUGGUUGCACUGCCACGUCUACAGUAGCGCAGAAUGGACAGAGGAAACAUGAUUGGGCCUCAAGUUUUUUGCAGCCAAUUCUCCUACAGACUUGGGAUAGGAGGUUUCAGAGCGCAUCGAGUUUAAAAUACCAUCUACAAGCUGAUGCUGACAGCCCC